GGCUUAGAGUUUGAUCAUGGCUCAGGACGAACGCUGGCGGCGCGCCUAACACAUGCAAGUCGAACGGAAAGAUUUUUCUACUCCGAGUUCUUUGUGGGUCUUUAAGGAGAGCGUCGAUCAAUGCGAAGCAUCGAAGAUGCGAGCGUUGAUCCAGGCUUUAUUUAGAAGACUAACACAAAGGUGGAGCAGAGAGCUGGGAGUAGGAAAAUCUUUUAGUGGCGAACGGGUGAGUAACGCGUGAGGAACCUGCCUCAAAGAGGGGGACAACAGUUGGAAACGACUGCUAAUACCGCAUAAGCCCACGGUUCUGCAUGGAACUGAGGGAAAAGGAGCAAUCCGCUUUGAGAUGGCCUCGCGUCCGAUUAGCUAGUUGGUGAGGUAACGGCCCACCAAGGCGACGAUCGGUAGCCGGACUGAGAGGUUGAACGGCCACAUUGGGACUGAGACACGGCCCAGACUCCUACGGGAGGCAGCAGUGGGGAAUAUUGCACAAUGGGGGAAACCCUGAUGCAGCGACGCCGCGUGGAGGAAGAAGGUCUUCGGAUUGUAAACUCCUGUUGUUGGGGAAAAAGAGGAUGGUACCCAACAAGGAAGUGACGGCUAACUACGUGCCAGCAGCCGCGGUAAAACGUAGGUCACAAGCGUUGUCCGGAAUUACUGGGUGUAAAGGGAGCGCAGGCGGGUAUGCAAGUUGGGAGUGAAAUACAUGGGCUCAACCCAUGAACUGCUCUCAAAACUGUGUAUCUUGAGUAGUGCAGAGGUAGGCGGAAUUCCCGGUGUAGCGGUGGAAUGCGUAGAUAUCGGGAGGAACACCAGUGGCGAAAGGCGGCCUACUGGGCACCAACUGACGCUGAGGCUCGAAAGUGUGGGUA
rnacentral:rRNA from 1 species